rfam:Candidatus Shapirobacteria bacterium RBG_13_44_7 RBG_13_scaffold_11247_curated, whole genome shotgun sequence.
GCCGCUGUGGUGAAAUUGGUAUACACGUACGCUUUAGGAGCGUAUGGAGUAAUCCGUGGAGGUUCGAGUCCUCUCAGCGGCA